GACUGAUGAUAACAGUAAUUUGACAGUUUAAUUUUUUAACGGUUAUUUCUUUAAAUUGUAUCGGAUAUUGUUUAGAAAUAAAGGACAGAUAUUUGGGAUAAAAGAAAAACGGCCUUCUCGUGCAGUGACAUAUUGUGGGUUAUUUCGCUAAUGUUAUACGAGAAAAAAAGAUAAAAUGGAAGAUGUCCUGUUUAAUUUGUGGUUUAUGACUGUCUUAUUCAUCGGUUUAAUGUAUAUAGGAUUUAGCAAUGCAGAUAUUAUAUAUAAAAGGUUGAUUAUAACCUUUGUUUAUGUUAAUCUUAUCAUCUGGAUCUAUAGUAGAAGGGGAGUUGAGGAUGUAUUUUACAACGUGCUCUUGUCUUCAGCCUGGGUCUGGACAUUUAAUCAAAAUAGUACGCAAGAGCGUACCUGUUUCACUUGCAGGGAACCAUCUCAUUUUAAUACCAAAAAGCGUAAAGCAGAACCUCAACUAUCUGAAGUUAUCAGCAAGAAGAUCACAACAAAUGAGACAGUCACGCAUAUUUACGACUCUUGUGAAAGCGAAAUUUCGAAAAAAGUGGUUGACAUAAUAAUGGAUGCAAUGUUUAAAAAGUACAAAAAAACUUAACAAAUUGUCCAGUGAUGAGGAAAUGAAAUUUGAUCGUCCAGUUAUAGUUGUUGCCAUACUUGACACGAGGUUCAUAUCCAAUAUAGAAGGCGCCUUAAGUAAUAUUAAUGAACAACACUAUAAUAAGGUUGCUCUUGUUAUUGGUCAUGUGAAAAUAAAAGAUAAGACAGCACGGGCGGCAGAAUUGAAAACUCAUGAAAAAUAUGGGAAGCUUGGACUUUGUGUGGACUUCUUUUAUGAAAACACCAACGACUUCUUCAUGAAACAACUUAUCUUUAACAAAUACAUGGAGUCGUUAAUUAAUUUGAUAGGUUUUAAUAAAAUGAUAUCCUACCGUAACAAAGAUGCAUUCGAUAAACUAGAAAAAUUUAUCGACGAAUUUUAAGCUUAUCAUGUGAUGCUGCAGGAAAGAUCAUCUCUCUGUAUACGCUAUCGAGUAACAGUGUCAGUGUGUAUUUUGAAAUUGAUGCAUGUUGUCAGAUCAUAAUAUCACAUGUCACAUAUAGUGCAACUUCGUAGCCACUGAAAACCGAAAACAUGUUGGGCUAGCAGAUUUUUAAAGUUUCUGUUAUUUAGAAGUUUUGAAUUAUCUGAAUAUGUAGAAAGCAUCAGCUACGUAACACAUAAUAAAAAGUACAUGGUGUUGAUAAAAUUCAUAAAAUGGCAAAAAUUGAUGUUUCGUAAAAAGUUAAUAAAAUUUAUAAUACACAUUACUGACGUUGUUGAUACAAUAGCAUAAACUCAACAUCACAACCUAUCCAUAAACAUUUAUUUGUAGUACCAGCUAUUAACGUUUAUUUUUUUGUUUUCGUAAUAUAUUUAUCAGUUUCUUUUACUUACACUUUAAUCAAGGGCUUGACAUGCUUGGCAGGUUUUGAUUCUAAUGAAGUCAAAAUAAAUAGUCACUGCUGA